rnacentral:rRNA from 1 species
CCGCGAAUGGCUCAUUAAAUCAGUUAUGGUUCCUUAGAUCGUACCCACGUUACUUGGAUAACUGUGGUAAUUCUAGAGCUAAUACAUGCAAACAGAGUCCCGACCAGAGAUGGGAGGGACGCUUUUAUUAGAUCAAAACCAAUCGGUCGGCUCGUCCGGUCCGUUUGCCUUGGUGACUCUGAAUAACUUUGGGCUGAUCGCACGGUCUCCGUACCGGCGACGCAUCUUUCAAAUGUCUGCCUUAUCAACUGUCGAUGGUAGGUUCUGCGCCUACCAUGGUUGUAACGGGUAACGGGGAAUCAGGGUUCGAUUCCGGAGAGGGAGCCUGAGAAACGGCUACCACAUCCAAGGAAGGCAGCAGGCGCGCAAAUUACCCACUCCCGGCACGGGGAGGUAGUGACGAAAAAUAACGAUACGGGACUCAUCCGAGGCCCCGUAAUCGGAAUGAGUACACUUUAAAUCCUUUAACGAGUAUCUAUUGGAGGGCAAGUCUGGUGCCAGCAGCCGCGGUAAUUCCAGCUCCAAUAGCGUAUAUUAAAGUUGUUGCGGUUAAAAAGCUCGUAGUUGGAUUUGUGUCCCACGCUGUUGGUUCACCGCCCGUCGGUGUUUAACUGGCAUGUAUCGUGGGACGUCCUGCCGGUGGGGCGAGCCGAAGGCGCGCGGCCGCCUUGUGCGUGUCCGUGCGUCCCGAGGCGGACCCCGUUGAAAUCCUACCGCGGUGCUCUUUACCGAGUGUCGAGGUGGGCCGGCACGUUUACUUUGAACAAAUUAGAGUGCUUAAGCAGGCAAGCCCGCCUGAAUACUGUGUGCAUGGAAUAAUGGAAUAGGACCUCGGUUCUAUUUUGUUGGUUUUCGGAACCCGAGGUAAUGAUUAAUAGGGACAGGCGGGGGCAUUCGUAUGCGACGUUAGAGGUGAAAUUCUGGAUCGUCGCAGGACGAACAGAAGCGAAAGCAUUUGCCAAGUAUGUUUUCAUUAAUCAGACGAAGUUAGAGGUU